ACGCUGGCGGCAGGCCUAACACAUGCAAGUCGAGCGGAAACGACACUAACAAUCCUUCGGGUGCGUUAAUGGGCGUCGAGCGGCGGACGGGUGAGUAAUGCCUAGGAAAUUGCCUUGAUGUGGGGGAUAACCAUUGGAAACGAUGGCUAAUACCGCAUAAUGCCUACGGGCCAAAGAGGGGGACCUUCGGGCCUCUCGCGUCAAGAUAUGCCUAGGUGGGAUUAGCUAGUUGGUGAGGUAAUGGCUCACCAAGGCGACGAUCCCUAGCUGGUCUGAGAGGAUGAUCAGCCACACUGGAACUGAGACACGGUCCAGACUCCUACGGGAGGCAGCAGUGGGGAAUAUUGCACAAUGGGCGAAAGCCUGAUGCAGCCAUGCCGCGUGUAUGAAGAAGGCCUUCGGGUUGUAAAGUACUUUCAGUUGUGAGGAAGGGKGURKHGUUAAUAGCKSYAUCUCUUGACGUUAGCAACAGAAGAAGCACCGGCUAACUCCGUGCCAGCAGCCGCGGUAAUACGGAGGGUGCGAGCGUUAAUCGGAAUUACUGGGCGUAAAGCGCAUGCAGGUGGUUCAUUAAGUCAGAUGUGAAAGCCCGGGGCUCAACCUCGGAACUGCAUUUGAAACUGGUGAACUAGAGUACUGUAGAGGGGGGUAGAAUUUCAGGUGUAGCGGUGAAAUGCGUAGAGAUCUGAAGGAAUACCAGUGGCGAAGGCGGCCCCCUGGACA
rnacentral:rRNA from 1 species